rnacentral:rRNA from 1 species
ACGGGGUGCAGCAGGCGCGAAACCUUUACAAUGCACGAAAGUGUGAUAAGGGAAUCCUAAGUGCUUAUGUUUUGCAUAAGCUUUUGCUAAGAGCAAAAAUCUUAGCGAAUAAGUGGUGGGUAAGACUGGUGCCAGCAGCCGCGGUAACACCAGCGCCACAAGUAGGGGCCACAUUUAUUGGGCCUAAAGCGUCCGUAGCCUGUUCAGUAAAUUUUCUGUGAAAUCUCUAAGCUUAACUUAUAGAUGUGCAGAAAACACUGCUGAACUUGGAACCGGGAGGAGUCAGAGGAAUUCUAGGGGGCGCGGUAAAAUGCGAUAAUCCUUAGAAGACCACCUGUGGCGAAGGCGUCUGACUAGAACGGGUUUAACGGUGAGGGACGAAAGCUAGGGGAGCAAACCGGAUUAGAUACCCGAGUAGUCCUAGCUGUAAACGUUGCGAGUUAGGUGUUACAUAUUCCUCGAGAAUAUGUAGUGUCGAAGCGAAGGCAUUAAACUCGCCGCCUGGGAAGUAUAGUCGCAAGACCGAAACUUAAAGGAAUUGGCGGGGGAGCAC